rnacentral:rRNA from 1 species
CCUACGGGAGGCAGCAGUGAGGAAUAUUGGUCAAUGGCCGCAGGGCUGAACCAGCCAAGUCGCGUGAGGGAUGACGGUCCUAUGGAUUGUAAACCUCUUUUGUCAGGGAGCAAAGGGCGCCACGUGUGGCGCUUUGCGAGUACCUGAAGAAAAAGCAUCGGCUAACUCCGUGCCAGCAGCCGCGGUAAUACGGAGGAUGCGAGCGUUAUCCGGAUUUAUUGGGUUUAAAGGGUGCGCAGGCGGAAUGUCAAGUCAGAGGUAAAAUUUCGGGGCUCAACCCCGUCGUGCCGUUGAAACUGGCGUUCUUGAGUGAGCGAGAAGUAUGCGGAAUGCGUGGGGUAGCGGUGAAAUGCAUAGAUAUCACGCAGAACUCCGAUUGCGAAGGCAGCAUACCGGCGCUCAACUGACGCUCAUGCACGAAAGCGUGGGUAUCGAACAGGAUUAGAUACCCUAGUAGUC